rnacentral:lncRNA from 1 species
CGGGAGGCACCGUGUGGUGGCUGUGCCAGGGCCCGGCGCGGCUCUGCAGGCCCCCAGAGCUCCUCGCAAUGCAGCUCCGUCCUGCAGAGCGGAGCCCGCGGUAUCCUCCUUGUCCUCGGCUGUCUCCCCUCGGUGGUGCGUGCCGUGAGUCACGAGGAGCCUGGUGCCGCUCCAAACGCGUGUCAGCCCCGGCCUAGUGAGAGGUUCAUAGCAGGCACAGGCAAAUGGGUGGAGUUGGUAGCUGUCUGAAGUAGCCAAGAUCUUCAGUUGAUAUCGUUAAUUAUCAUGUGAUGGUGCCAAAGUUUGCGAGGCUCCGUGCAGCACAGAACAAAAUGACAUAUUCCCUGCCCCAAGGAGUUUACAAUCUAAAGUGGAUCUGACAACACGAGGGUGUGACAGGACACCACGAGGCUGCAGCAACAGGAUCAUGCUGUUGAGGUCUCAACUUACUCCAGCACUACAGAUGAGAGAAAGCGACAGCUCCAGAGGCCUCUUGGGAUGGCAGGAUGGAUCUGACAAAGCAAGGUGUGACAGAAUGCCACAAGGUUGCAGCAACAGAAUCCUAGGAUCCAGUGACCAGAUAAAGAUGCAGAAGUCAAAGUCUUCCUGGAGGUGCUCAUUUCCAGAAACCUGAGAGUGGAAACGCCCUUGGAAAGUGAAGAAGCCGUUCAGAAAUCACAUUUCCCAGCUGGGAGUGCACGCUGUAUAAAAUACUCCAGUGUAAUAAAACCAGGUAAUGAAAGUGCCA